rnacentral:piRNA from 1 species
UCAGAGCUCUUGGUGUUACUUAGA